rnacentral:rRNA from 1 species
GUGUCAGCAGCCGCGGUAAUACAGAGGGUGCGAGCGUUGUCCGGAAUCACUGGGCGUAAAGGGCGCGUAGGUGGCGACCCAAGUCCAUGGUGAAAGCUCGAUGCUCAACAUCGAGUCGGCCACGGAUACUGGGUUGCUGGAGCACUGUAGAGGCAGAUGGAAUUCCGGGUGUAGCGGUGGAAUGCGUAGAGAUCCGGAAGAACACCGGUGGCGAAGGCGGUCUGCUGGGCAGUUGCUGACACUGAGGCGCGACAGCGUGGGGAGCAAACAGGAUUAGAUACCCCGGUAGUCC